UGGGAGAAUCUGUAAAGCUCAGGAGGGAUAGCGCCAUGGAUGAAUAUUAUACAUGAGCUUAAUAACAAUAUUGCUUGUUUUAACCAUCCAUAGCGCUAUCCAUCCUGAGUUUCAUAGCUUCUUCAU
rfam:Nicotiana sylvestris Nsyl_contig51419, whole genome shotgun sequence.